UGACCUCGGAUCAGGUAGGGAUACCCGCUGAACUUAAGCAUAUCAAUAAGCGGAGGAAAAGAAACCAACCGGGAUUGCCUCAGUAACGGCGAGUGAAGCGGCAAGAGCUCAAAUUUGAAAUCUGGCCCCCUCGGGGUCCGAGUUGUAAUUUGCAGAGGAUGCUUCGGGUGCGGCCCCCGUCUAAGUGCCCUGGAACGGGCCGUCAUAGAGGGUGAGAAUCCCGUCUGGGACGGGGUGUCCGCGUCCGUGUGAAGCUCCUUCGACGAGUCGAGUUGUUUGGGAAUGCAGCUCUAAAUGGGUGGUAAAUUUCAUCUAAAGCUAAAUACUGGCCGGAGACCGAUAGCGCACAAGUAGAGUGAUCGAAAGAUGAAAAGCACUUUGAAAAGAGAGUUAAAAAGCACGUGAAAUUGUUGAAAGGGAAGCGCUUGCGACCAGACUCGCCCGCGGGGUUCAGCCGGCAUUCGUGCCGGUGUACUUCCCCGCGGGCGGGCCAGCGUCGGUUUGGGCGGCCGGUCAAAGGCCCCCGGAAUGUAGUGCCCCUACGGGGGCACCUUAUAGCCGGGGGUGCAAUGCGGCCAGCCUGGACCGAGGAACGCGCUUCGGCACGGACGCUGGCAUAAUGGUUGCAAACGACC
rnacentral:rRNA from 1 species